CCUACGGGUGGCAGCAGUGAGGAAUAUUGGUCAAUGGACGAGAGUCUGAACCAGCCAAGUAGCGUGAAGGAUGACGGCCCUAUGGGUUGUAAACUUCUUUUAUAAGGGAAUAAAGCGAGGCACGUGUGCCUUUUUGCAUGUACCUUAUGAAUAAGGAUCGGCUAACUCCGUGCCAGCAGCCGCGGUAAUACGGAGGAUCCGAGCGUUAUCCGGAUUUAUUGGGUUUAAAGGGAGCGUAGAUGGGUUGUUAAGUCAGUUGUGAAAGUUUGCGGCUCAACCGUAAAAUUGCAAUUGAUACUGGCAGUCUUGAGUACAGGUGAGGUAGGCGGAAUUCGUGGUGUAGCGGUGAAAUGCUUAGAUAUCACGAAGAACCCCGAUUGCGAAGGCAGCUUACUAAACUGCGACUGACAUUGAUGCUCGAAAGCGUGGGUAUCGAACAGGAUUAGAUACCCUAGUAGUC
rnacentral:rRNA from 1 species